UCCAUGGAAGUUACAAUAAUGGCAAAGUUACGAUAGUUGUUAGUCUGUAUGAAACGGGCCCCUGAUCAUCAGCACAGCUCACCUGCUAAGCUCGGACGCAAAGCAACCAGAUCGAUCAGAACAAUUCAAGCGCUCUUGGAAGGAGUACAUCACUAGCACACAGUCCACAGCAUUUUCAAGAGGCAGAUGAUCAGCAACUGUAAAACAGGACUCUAGAGCAAGCACAGAGUGCUAUCCACAAGGGCAAACUCAUUCAUCUGGCAGAAGUGACUCAACAGGAAGGAUGGAAUAUUGAGCUAGAUUAUAAAGAUGUCAUCGUCAUGAUGGAGGAUGAACUUGACAGUCUCGGGUCAAAGGUCAAGAAAAUGCCCAGAAAUAUACUGCCAGAACAAGUGCUAUAAUAACAAGAGAGAGUGCUAGGAGAGGGACAGAUGGAUUCAGAAACAACUCUUCCCCGGAGGCUAAGGAGACGGUGAAGGCUGUGAAAGCACUGGUUGAACUCUAUUUCUCAGUGUACAACAUGAUCCACCCCCUAUCUGGUGUUAACCAUCUUCCAAGCAUCAAUGAGACAGAUAGUCAAGCAGAGAUGAGGACAUGACACCAAUCUUCAAGUCUUCAUCUGCACGGAAUGUCUGGUGUGAACAGAUAUUGGCCUUUACUAAAGUAUGGUCACUGUGAGAAUGGAUUUUACACCACACUCUUCAUAUACACCCCCAUCUUGUGUUAAUAAUGCUUCUAGUAUACAGUAUAUAAUUUGCUCUUGACACCAGUAAUUAUCUACACUCUAUGUCUGGUGUUAGCCCUAUUUUUCAGAUCAAGUCUUUACCAAUAGGGAGUAGAUAAUGUUUGCUUUUAUUUGUUCUGCUAUGUGGAACAUUACUCCAUGAAUAUCUAGAAUAUGGUUAACCCUAUACCUAUUUUUUUUUUUUUGGGGGGGGUCUUCAGACUGAAUGAACUAAAUAUCAGUUCAGAUUUCAUUUCAAUUAUUGAAAACAUUUUUAGUAUCAAAUAUGUGACUUGCAUAUACAUG